CACGCUGUAAACGAUGGAUACUAGGUGUGGGAGGUAUCGACCCCUUCCGUGCCGGAGUUAACACAAUAAGUAUCCCACCUGGGGAGUACGGCCGCAAGGUUGAAACUCAAAGGAAUUGACGGGGGCCCGCACAAGCAGUGGAGUAUGUGGUUUAAUUCGAAGCAACGCGAAGAACCUUACCAGGGCUUGACAUACCGAUGACCGGGUUAGAGAUAACCCUUCCCUUCGGGGCAUUGGAUACAGGUGG
rnacentral:rRNA from 1 species